rnacentral:rRNA from 1 species
UCGUCUUCUAAUUCCUUCCAUUCGACCAAAGAAUUCUCUAUAAUAAUUCGCAAAUCCAAAUCUGCUAAUUGUUCUCUAAUAGCACCUGCUCCUGUCGCAAUUUCCCGAUUUCGAAAUGUUGCAAAGCCUGGGGUAGAAAAAAAGGGAGAAAUGUUGUGGUUACAGGAUGCAAUUUCCUCUUCGAAUAAACCUCGUAAUCGUAAAAAAGUGGGUUUUUUAGUGCUAGGCCUAGCAAAAGAGAAAUCGCCGUAUACUAGGCCCUCCAACUUCUUAAGAGGCUUAUCUAAAAGAUUCGCGAUAUUAAACUUUAGUACCGGUUCGUGCCACGAACCGGUACUAAUGGUGCAAUUUUCAAAUCCUAACCCCCCCGGUGUAUCGCUUUUUUAG